AAUCAACGCUGGCGGCGUGCCUCAGACAUGCAAGUCGAACGCGAAAGGCCCCUUCGGGGGCCGAGUAGAGUGGCGUCCGGGUGAGUAACACGUGGGUAAUCUACCUUCGGGUGGGGAAUAACGACCGGAAACGGUCGCUAAUACCGCAUAAUGCAGCGGCACCUAAUGGUGACAGUUGUUAAAGCGGGGGAGUCGCAAGACCUCGCGCCUGAAGAGGAGCCCGCGGCGGAUUAGCUAGUUGGCAGGGUAACGGCCUACCCAAAGGCGACGAUCCGUAGCCGGCCUGAGAGGGGCGGUCGGGCCACACUGGCACUGACACACGGGCCAGACUCCUACGGGAGGCAGCAGUGGGGAAGUAUUGGACAAUGGGCGCAAGCCUGAUCCAGCCAUGCCGCGUGGAGGG
rnacentral:rRNA from 1 species